rnacentral:rRNA from 1 species
UACGGAAGGCAGCAGUGGGGAAGUAUUGCACAAUGGGCGCAAGCCUGAUGCAGCCAUGCCGCGUGUAUGAAGAAGGCCUUCGGGUUGUAAAGUACUUUUCAGUCGUGAGGAAGGUGUUAAGGUUAAUAACCUUAGCAAUUGACGUUAGCGACAGAAGAAGCACCGGCUAACUCCGUGCCAGCAGCCGCGGUAAUACGGAGGGUGCGAGCGUUAAUCGGAAUUACUGGGCGUAAAGGGCACGCAGGCGGUUAAUUAAGUUGGAUGUGAAAUCCCCGGGCUUAACCUGGGAAUGGCAUUCAAGACUGGUUAGCUAGAGUCUUGUAGAGGGGGUAGAAUUCCAUGUGUAGCGGUGAAAUGCGUAGAGAUGUGGAGGAAUACCGGUGGCGAAGGCGGCCCCUGGACAAAGACUGACGCUCAUGUGCGAAAGCGUGGGGAGCAAACAGGGAUUAGAUACC